AAUUGACGGGGCCCGCACAAGCGGUGGAGCAUGUGGUUUAAUUCGACGCAACGCGAAGAACCUUACCAGGGCUUGACAUCCCCUGACCGCGUAUGAAAGUACGUUUUCACCCUCGGGUGACAGGGAGACAGGUGGUGCAUGGUUGUCGUCAGCUCGUGUCGUGAGAUGUUGGGUUAAGUCCCGCAACGAGCGCAACCCUCGUCCUUAGUUGCCAUCAUUAAGUUGGGCACUUUAAGGAAACUGCCGGUGAUAAGCCGGAGGAAGGUGGGGAUGACGUCAAGUCCUCAUGGCCCUUACAGGCUGGGCUACACACGUGCUACAAUGGCAUCUACAGUGGGCAGCUAUUCCGCAAGGAUGCGCUAAUCUCCAAAAGAUGUCUCAGUUCGGAUUGUCCUCUGCAACUCGAGGGCAUGAAGGCGGAAUCGCUAGUAAUCGCGGAUCAGCAUGCCGCGGUGAAUACGUUCCCAGGCCUU
rnacentral:rRNA from 1 species